rnacentral:misc_RNA from 1 species
UUUUUUUUUUUUUUGGUAUAUUUGAAAUUAUCUGAAUCUUAAUUUUAAUUUUUCUUUAAAAAAAAAAACGCUUUGGCAUAAAUUUUUGUUAAAUAUGUGAAUUAGAAAAUGUUGCUGCCUUCUUCUACACCCGAUCUUCGCUAUCUCCGACUGUGGAGUCACUAGCUUGUCUACUUUAAUGGGAAAGCAUCCUUUUGUCUCCAAUUUCACCACCGGAGUCUCACCUUAGUUCCGAGCGCAGAAUUGCCAAGAUUGCCUGUAAUUCGGUGCUCGGUAACAAAUUCCAACGGCGGCGAAACCUUCAAAACAUGCAAGAACUGCAAAACCCAAUUCGACCCUUCUCUCAAUCACCCUCGCGCUUGUCGCUUCCAGGCUGCCCGUUUUGGAGGUAACCCACAUCCACUCUCAAGACUUCAGUAGUUUCUAAUUGACUAGCGUGAUGUCAGAUGAUCUAUUAAUUAACGCUUUCCUCGCUCUGUAAGUGGAUAUUAAUUGGAAUCUUGCGUUGGAAGGGUAAUGGAUUGAAUGCACGCAAAUUGCAAUGUACCGGAAUUGAUAUAGUAAUCCCAUCUGCAUUGGCACUAGGACUGAAUUAGGUGGAGUUGAGUUCAGUUUUUCAAGAUUUGCAUGUGGGCAUUGGAUUGUUGACACGGGAUGAAUUUGUUUCUGCGAUUGUUUCUAGUAUAAAGAAUAUCUUGAAGAUGUAUUUUUUUGUUUUUUUUCCUGUAAUUUUGCUUUUCCUACAGACCAUGUUUGCUAAUGUUUGUACCUUGCUCCGAAUUUACCUUUUUUAGGGGAAACAAAGAGGAAGUUUGAGAGUGUGUACACUGGUGGCAUAAUGGAUACUCCUCACUCGUUUUUCAGUAUUGGCAUUGCUGUGGAUCUGAAGAUCCUUUUGACCCUGGGUCUGCUGCUGCUCCUUACUCGUCUUAUGAUGACUGAUAUAGUUGACAAUCUUUCUACAAACAAAACAAAGUUCUGUUCUUUGGUAUGAAACUCUCAAUUGUUGCUUACAUGUGCUUUCCAUUUGUAAAUGCUCAACGGCAUAUAUUUUUUUGCCUGCCCUCGUACCAUUAAAUGUAACAAAAUAAAGUUAAAAACCUAGAUGCUCAAAUUGGCCACAUAUGUUCUUUCUAACAUGAAUGAUUGCUCUAUAUUGUGAACUUACCAAUUUGGAAGUAAAACUAAUCAGAUUCAAC